UACGGAGGGUGCAAGCGUUAUCCGGAUUCACUGGGUUUAAAGGGUGCGUAGGCGGGUAUAUAAGGCAGUGGGGAAAGCUCCGGGCUUAACUUGGAAACUGCCAUUGAUACUGUAUAUCUUGAAUGUCGUUGAGGUUAGCGGAAUGUUGCAUGUAGCGGCGAAAUGCUUAGAUAUGUUACAGAACACCAAUUGUGAAGACAGCUAACUAAGCGAUGAUUGACGCUGAGGCACGAAAGCGUGGGGAGCAAACAGG
rnacentral:rRNA from 1 species